rnacentral:rRNA from 1 species
GACGAACGCUGGCGGCGUGCUUAACACAUGCAAGUCGUACGAUGAUGCCAGCUUGCUGGUGGAUUAGUGGCGAACGGGUGAGUAACACGUGAGCAACCUGCCCCUGACUUCGGGAUAACCGCGGGAAACCGUGGCUAAUACCGGAUAUGACGCGCUAUCGCAUGGUGGUGUGUGGAAAGAUUUAUCGGUUGGGGAUGGGCUCGCGGCCUAUCAGCUUGUUGGUGGGGUGAUGGCCUACCAAGGCGACGACGGGUAGCCGGCCUGAGAGGGUGACCGGCCACACUGGGACUGAGACACGGCCCAGACUCCUACGGGAGGCAGCAGUGGGGAAGAUUGCACAAUGGGCGCAAGCCUGAUGCAGCGACGCCGCGUGAGGGAUGACGGCCUUCGGGUUGUAAACCUCUUUCAGUAGGGAAGAAGGCCUUCGGGUUGACGGUACCUGCAGAAGAAGCGCCGGCUAACUACGUG